rnacentral:lncRNA from 13 species
CUUGAGAACAGUUUGGUUGGCAGCACCAACAGCCCAGCAUUAGGUAGCAUUGUACAGGUAAAUUACCUCUUCCUUGCAGCACAGGCAGCUUGAAAGAGGCAGAUUGAAAGAGCUGCAACUGUUAGUUGGCUCUUGGUGUAAUUGAUGGACACUGCCAGUUGCUUAGACAGAUGGGAAUUAACACUGGUGUUCCCAUUAGAACUUGCCAUCACAGUCACGUUGGCUUUGGUCUCCUGCACUGGGUUGAUGUGUGCAAGAGAGUGCAUGUGGAAGGAGCAAGCGUAACUCCUGCCUGCAGUACUCGCCUUCCAGGGUAUUGGAGCCAUCCAUCCAACACAGAGCAGACGAGCUGCUUGCCAGUUUGCAGAACACAUGGCUUUGAGAUGGUGAGGAAAAUGCUUCUUUGCUGGAUGCUGAGAGAUUGCAGUGAGCGGGACUCUCAUCCCUGGAGGCAUCUGUAAGCUGUACUUACAGGUAGGCUGACAGAAGACACAGCAGCUCAGCUGGUGGGGCCACUGUCCCUAUGCGCUGGUUUGUUGGCUCCAUGCAGGGCAGGUCAUGCGCACACACAGUGCCCUCUCCUCCUCCCAAGUCUCCUGCCAUCAAAUCCAUGCCUGAUGCUCAGACCCAGCAGGUCUGGCUGCUCGCUCAGCCUCAGGGCUGAGGUGUGAGCAGUGCACGGGAGCCCCUCCCCGGCCCCAGCCGCAGAGCUGUGGUGUGCGUGGCCGUGCGCUCGCACGCAGCACAGGAGAUGUUUGACGCUCAAGGUAGGAGCGUGUUGCCCACUGC